GUGCUCGCUUUGGCAGCAACCUAUACUAAAAAUUGGAAUGAUACAGAGAAGAUUACUAUCCUGUGAAAGGAUGAGAACGUGAUAAGAAUUUCAAUAUAGUUUU